UAACUUGAAUGGUAUGUUAUUUUGGCAUUUAGAUAGUUUAAAAUUUGGAUGUUUGGUUAAAAUAUUUUGGAUGUUUGGAGAAGGUUUGCUAUUUCGAUGUUUGGUUAAAAUAUUUUGGAUGUUUGGAGAAGGUUUGCUAUUUCGAUGUUUGGUUAAAUAUUUUGGUUUUUGGAUGUGUGGAUUUGAUAUUUGGAUUUUAAACCAAAACAAACCAAGCAUUUUGUCCCAAUCAAUUGGGGUCGGUUACAUGAAUCAUUUUACGCCAUUGAUCUCUAUCAAGGGCCAAAUAUUCACUGAGAUUUAAUCCAAUCGUAUCAUUUUUUACUACCGCAUCUAGUGUUAACUUCAGUCUACCAUUCCCUCUAGUGUUAUCACUACCAAUAAUCAUAUCACUUCUUACUACCACAUCAGUAGACUUACAACA
rnacentral:lncRNA from 1 species